rnacentral:rRNA from 1 species
GACGAACGCUGGCGGCGUGCUUAACACAUGCAAGUCGAACGGUGAUGCUCCAGCUUGCUGGAGUGGAUCAGUGGCGAACGGGUGAGUAACACGUGAGCAACCUGCCCCAGACUCUGGAAUAAGCGCUGGAAACGGCGUCUAAUACUGUAUACGAAACUGGCCCGCAUGGGCAUGGUUUGGAAAGUUUUUCGGUUUGGGAUGGGCUCGCGGCCUAUCAGCUUGUUGGUGAGGUAAUGGCUCACCAAGGCGACGACGGGUAGCCGGCCUGAGAGGGCGACCGGCCACACUGGGACUGAGACACGGCCCAGACUCCUACGGGAGGCAGCAGUGGGGAAUAUUGCACAAUGGGCGAAAGCCUGAUGCAGCGACGCCGCGUGAGGGAUGACGGCCUUCGGGUUGUAAACCUCUUUCAGCAGGGAAGAAGCGAAAGUGACGGUACCUGCAGAAGAAGCACCGGCUAACUACGUG